UACAGAGGGUGCAAGCGUUGUUCGGAAUUAUUGGGCGUAAAGGGCGCGUAGGCGGUGCGGUAAGUCUGUAGUGAAAUCUCUGGGCUCAACUCAGAGUCUGCUGCAGAAACUGCCGUGCUUGAGUGUGGGAGAGGUGAGUGGAAUUCCCGGUGUAGCGGUGAAAUGCGUAGAUAUCGGAAGGAACACCUGUGGCGAAAGCGGCUCACUGGACCAUUACUGACGCUGAGGCACGAAAACUAGGGGAGCAAACAGG
rnacentral:rRNA from 1 species